rnacentral:rRNA from 1 species
CACGUAGGGUGCAAGCGUUGUCCGGAAUUACUGGGCGUAAAGGGCUUGUAGGCGGCCAACUAAGUCGGACGUGAAAUCCCCAGGCUCAACCUGGGAACUGCGUCCGAUACUGGAUGGCUUGAAUCCGGGAGAGGGGUGCAGAAUUCCAGGUGUAGCGGUGAAAUGCGUAGAUAUCAGGAGGAAUACCGAUGGCGAAGGCAGGUCUCUGGGCUAGAACUGACGCUCAUGCACGAAAGCGUGGGGAGCAAACAGG